rnacentral:rRNA from 1 species
AUUUAUUGGAGAGUUUGAUCCUGGCUCAGGACGAACGCUGGCGGCGUGCUUAACA